UACGUAGGGUGCAAGCGUUGUCCGGAAUUAUUGGGCGUAAAGAGCUCGUAAGCGGUCUGUCGCGUCGGCUGUGAAAACCCGAGGCUCAACCUCGGGCCUGCAGUCGAUACGGGCAAACUAGAGUACUGCAGGGGAGACUGGAAUUCCUGGUGUAGCGGUGAAAUGCGCAGAUAUCAGGAGGAACACCGGUGGCGAAGGCGGGUCUCUGGGCAGUAACUGACGCUGAGGAGCGAAAGCGUGGGGAGCGAACAGG
rnacentral:rRNA from 1 species